GGUCCACUCAUAAUUAGUUUCGAAAAUUCAAACUGAAUACACCACUCAUCUUUAACAAUUCACUAAUAAAAGAAAAGUAGAAAAAUGAAAUUUUAUAUUAUUACAUUAUUUUUGAUACUUUGUGCAGCAUCCAUCCUUGCAUUGAAUGUUGAGGGACAACCUAAAAUUUCAGAGUAUAGACUGGGAGACAAACCGGCGCCACCUAAAAAAGACGUGAUCGUUGAUAAUGAUAAUUGAUGAUAAAAAUUUUCAGACAAACCGAGGCCAGCUAAAAAAGAUGUGAUCGUUGAUCCGUGAUCUAUGACCAUGUGUGUGCGUGCAUUACGGUUUCCAAAUAAUUAUUAACUGAAAAAAAUUACAAUUGUUAGUAAACAUGUAAUAUUAAUUUCUG